rnacentral:rRNA from 1 species
UGGGGAAUUUUGGACAAUGGGGGAAACCCUGAUCCAGCCAUCCCGCGUGUGCGAUGAAGGCCUUCGGGUUGUAAAGCACUUUUGGCAGGAAAGAAACGUCAUGGGUUAAUACCCCGUGAAACUGACGGUACCUGCAGAAUAAGCACCGGCUAACUACGUGCCAGCAGCCGCGGUAAUACGUAGGGUGCAAGCGUUAAUCGGAAUUACUGGGCGUAAAGCGUGCGCAGGCGGUUCGGAAAGAAAGAUGUGAAAUCCCAGAGCUCAACUUUGGAACUGCAUUUUUAGCUACCGGGCUAGAGUGUGUCAGAGGGAGGUGGAAUUCCGCGUGUAGAAGUGAAAUGCGUAGAUAUGCGGAGGAACACCGAUGGCGAAGGCAGCCUCCUGGGAUAACACUGACGCUCAUGCACGAAAGCGUGGGGAGCAAACAGG